rnacentral:rRNA from 1 species
AUAGCGUAUAUUAAAGUUGUUGCGGUUAAAAAGCUCGUAGUUGGAUCUCGGUUCCGGAUUGGCGGUGCACCUUGCGGUGUUUACUGUUGAUCCGGGCGAUUUUGUUGGUUCGUGUACAGUUCUCUUAACCGGGUGCUAUACGUGGCCAGCACGUUUACUUUGAAAAAAUUGGAGUGCUCAAAGCAGGCGCUACAGCCUGAACAUUAGUGCAUGGAAUAAUGGAAUAGGAUCUCGGUUCUAUUUCGUUGGCUUUCGGAGUCGAGGUAAUGAUUAAUAGGAACAGACGGGGGCAUUCGUACUGCGACGUUAGAGGUGAAAUUCUUGGAUUGACUCAAGACCAACUAUUG